rnacentral:rRNA from 1 species
GACGAACGCUGGCGGCGUGCUUAACACAUGCAAGUCGAACGGAAAGGCCCUGCUUUUGUGGGGUGCUCGAGUGGCGAACGGGUGAGUAACACGUGAGUAACCUGCCCUUGACUUUGGGAUAACUUCAGGAAACUGGGGCUAAUACCGGAUAGGAGCUCCUGCUGCAUGGGGGGGGUUGGAAAGUUUGGGCGGUUGGGGAUGGACUCGCGGCUUAUCAGCUUGUUGGUGGGGUAGUGGCUUACCAAGGCUUUGACGGGUAGCCGGCCUGAGAGGGUGACCGGCCACAUUGGGACUGAGAUACGGCCCAGACUCCUACGGGAGGCAGCAGUGGGGAAUAUUGCACAAUGGGCGGAAGCCUGAUGCAGCAACGCCGCGUGCGGGAUGACGGCCUUCGGGUUGUAAACCGCUUUCGCCUGUGACGAAGCGUGAGUGACGGUAAUGGGUAAAGAAGCACCGGCUAACUACGUG